GAAAUCUCUCCGAAUUGCUUCCGUUGUGGUAUGCCUGAAAAUGAUUUUCAUCUUUUCUUCGGCUGCCCUUUUAGCAAGAUCACUUGGAUGAUUUCUGACAUUAAUCUCCGCACUGAUAUUUUCUCUGAUAAUGUUUCUAUGGCUCACAUAAUUGCUUACAUUUCCAAUAACUGUUCUAACAAAGCCACUUUAAAUAGAAUCUUCACAAUCAUGUGGCAGAUUUGGAAGGCUAGAAAUGAUCUCAAGUUUUAGGGAUGAUGAUAUGGAGCAAUCUUCAUCGGAGAGAGGAAUGGAAAAGUUGCUGGAAGGAAAUAGAUGUUAUAUAGAUGCUUCUUGGGAUGAUAACAAAAUAGGCAUUGGAAUCUUCUUCCAUUUGCCUAACACUCACAAUGCUCUUUUUAUCAAAGCUUAUAGUCAUUUGGCAGAAUCCCCUUUGCAAUCUGAACUGCUAGCCUUGCAGCUAGCCAUGGAAAUUGCCUUGAUUCUGAACUUUGCAGA